AGUAAGGAGCACAGUUCUGGAACCACAGCUUCUGGGGAAGGAGGAGUCCUAUCUGUCGUAUCUACCAGCAACCCUUGACGUUAUCGAAAGAGACUGGGAAUUCACCUCUCAGAGUCUAGGAAUUCAAUUUGUCAUUGGAAGAAUCUUCUGGAAGGAGAGAGGACAGUAGACAAGAGGCCCCGGUUUUCCUGUCAGAGAUCUCUGAGAAUAUUUGAGGUCAUUCAUGUUCUGUUUGCUUAUUGUGAACGAGACACAGUUAGCUUCCUUUUGACUAUCAAACUCUGCUUUUUUGAAGGGCUCCCUGCACAAGCGAUAUGAGACUGCCUGCCUUGUGUGAGCCUUGGAUGAGCCCUGCAGCUCCUUCGAGAUGCUCCUUGGAUAUUCCUGAUGGAGAAGACCGACCCCGAGGAAGCUUGGUCCUGCUUUCGAUGAGCUUGCUGUGCUUUCACGGACACCCUUCGUAUCUUCUACCAGUUUUCAGUGCCAGGGUGCGCUUGAAAGGAGAGCUGAUGCCAGGGCUAUAGCCUUCCCCAGCCAGAGCAUGUGGGCCAAACCCUUUCUGGAUGGCUAGGCAGUGGGGAGAAGCCAUGAGAUAGAUGCUUGAGAAGUAGUCACAACUCCCCUGGGGACAGUCUGGUUUUCAGGGUUACAUCCAUUCAAAAACACCCCCCGGAAUUCAGGCUUGUGAAAGACAAGCUAACUUGACCCUGUUCCUUUGUUCUCACUGAGGUCCUGUCCCUGGCAUCCCCUUCCUCCUGUGGACACCACUGAGGUGCAGACACUACCCUGAUGGGGCUUCCCGUCCUGCUGUUCGGCUCUGGAAGAGACUUGAUUCCUUUCCUUUU
ensembl:lincRNA Mirg miRNA containing gene